rnacentral:rRNA from 1 species
AGCUUGCUCCACCGGAAAAAGAAGAGUGGCGAACGGGUGAGUAACACGUGGGUAACCUGCCCAUCAGAAGGGGAUAACACUUGGAAACAGGUGCUAAUACCGUAUAACAAUCGAAACCGCAUGGUUUUGAUUUGAAAGGCGCUUUCGGGUGUCGCUGAUGGAUGGACCCGCGGUGCAUUAGCUAGUUGGUGAGGUAACGGCUCACCAAGGCCACGAUGCAUAGCCGACCUGAGAGGGUGAUCGGCCACAUUGGGACUGAGACACGGCCCAAACUCCUACGGGAGGCAGCAGUAGGGAAUCUUCGGCAAUGGACGAAAGUCUGACCGAGCAACGCCGCGUGAGUGAAGAAGGUUUUCGGAUCGUAAAACUCUGUUGUUAGAGAAGAACAAGGAUGAGAGUAACUGUUCAUCCCUUGACGGUAUCUAACCAGAAAGCCACGGCUAACUACGUGCCAGCAGCCGCGGUAAUACGUAGGUGGCAAGCGUUGUCCGGAUUUAUUGGGCGUAAAGCGAGCGCAGGCGGUUUCUUAAGUCUGAUGUGAAAGCCCCCGGCUCAACCGGGGAGGGUCAUUGGAAACUGGGAGACUUGAGUGCAGAAGAGGAGAGUGGAAUUCCAUGUGUAGCGGUGAAAUGCGUAGAUAUAUGGAGGAACACCAGUGGCGAAGGCGGCUCUCUGGUCUGUAACUGACGCUGAGGCUCGAAAGCGUGGGGAGCAAACAGGAUUAGAUACCCUGGUAGUCCACGCCGUAAACGAUGAGUGCUAAGUGUUGGAGGGUUUCCGCCCUUCAGUGCUGCAGCUAACGCAUUAAGCACUCCGCCUGGGGAGUACGACCGCAAGGUUGAAACUCAAAGGAAUUGACGGGGGCCCGCACAAGCGGUGGAGCAUGUGGUUUAAUUCGAAGCAACGCGAAGAACCUUACCAGGUCUUGACAUCCUUUGACCACUCUAGAGAUAGAGCUUCCCCUUCGGGGGCAAAGUGACAGGUGGUGCAUGGUUGUCGUCAGCUCGUGUCGUGAGAUGUUGGGUUAAGUCCCGCAACGAGCGCAACCCUUAUUGUUAGUUGCCAUCAUUUAGUUGGGCACUCUAGCAAGACUGCCGGUGACAAACCGGAGGAAGGUGGGGAUGACGUCAAAUCAUCAUGCCCCUUAUGACCUGGGCUACACACGUGCUACAAUGGGAAGUACAACGAGUCGCGAAGUCGCGAGGCUAAGCUAAUCUCUUAAAGCUUCUCUCAGUUCGGAUUGUAGGCUGCAACUCGCCUACAUGAAGCCGGAAUCGCUAGUAAUCGCGGAUCAGCACGCCGCGGUGAAUACGUUCCCGGGCCUUGUACACACCGCCCGUCACACCACGAGAGUUUGUAACACCCGAAGUCGGUGAG